rnacentral:rRNA from 1 species
UACCAGCACCCCGAGUGGUCGGGACGUUUAUUGGGCCUAAAGCAUCCGUAGCCGGUUCUACAAGUCUUCCGUUAAAUCCACCUGCUUAACAGAUGGGCUCCGGAAGAUACUAUAGAGCUAGGAGGCGGGAGAGGCAAGCGGUACUCGAUGGGUAGGGGUAAAAUCCGUUGAUCCAUUGAAGACCACCAGUGGCGAAGGCGGCUUGCCAGAACGCGCUCGACGGUGAGGGAUGAAAGCUGGGGGAGCAAACCGG